UCCUGAUGAAUCCAAAUUUAGAUACCACGCACAUCCAAAAAGCUGAGGGUUCCACGUGGUCUUACAUAUGGGGUUCCUGUCGUGUGUCACAAUAUAUAGGAAGCCUGUUUCCCUUGCUCAAUGAGCUGUAUUGUGACUCAGCAGGGAGGUGCAUAAAUAAAUGCCUGGCCUCAGCCAGAGCUUGCCCAAGAGCCUAGGGAACAGAUCUGAGUUAAAAGGGUCAGGACAUCCCUGGCACUGUGUGGUAUAAGUGCUAUGACAUGGACGCUUGCAACAUGAUCUCUUCUCUUGUCCUGUGGAAGGGACCCUCAUUGAGGAUCUUACCAGCCCUUUGAAGAGUGAUCUUAUGGCAGAGAUAAUUCUCAGCAGCUGCUGUGGAAAAGGCAUCCCUGAGCUCUCAAUGCUGAGAGCAAUCUUAGCUGUUCACGUGGAGAGACUGAAGGACACCAAGGAUCUUACCACCUGAAUGAAGCUUCCUGGAGCAGCAAGUGAACCAUAACCACUAACUGAGAAGAAGUUAAAUGCGUGGUCUUAAUCCAGGCUGUGUGGAGCAGAAGAGCUAUAUGGUAGAACCAUCCUUGACUGCCAGCUCAUGUAACUGAGAGGCCCCUAAUUUUUAAAGGUCCCGGUGCUUGCAGAAGAUUCUCCUGAAGUUGUUACAGGUGAUUGUGAGCUAACUAGACCACGGUUCUGGGACGCAAACAACCCUGGUCCUCUGUCUUAAGAGCUGAGCCGUUUCUCCAGCCCCUUAAAAUAACUUUUUAAAAGGCCUCGUAUUUCAAGAAAAACUACUUGUAAAUAUAUGGCAUCCUCAGUUAAGUAAUGAGCGUUCACAUUAAAAGUACCUUAUCUGUGUA